rnacentral:misc_RNA from 1 species
AAUGAAUCUAAUGAAAAUGUUGUAGAAAUUCUAAAUGCAACAAAUCUAAUCAUGAAGCAGUAAACUUAUAUACAUCUGUAUACUAUAUGAACUGAUUUGCAUAUGAAGAUAUAUAGAUCCAUUCAAAGAAUUUCUCUCCUAGCAUCAUACCCGAACUGAGAUCGUUGGAUAUUUUGUUGUCGCUUCUUGUACACCAAUGCACCGAUACCUACAAAACAAACUGCAGCGAUCACUCCGACUGCUAUUCCAGCCUUCUUUCCACUCGUCAUUCCACCACCAGAUGAUUCCUUCGAUGAAUCUACACUCUCAUCGCUAAUAUCACUCGCAGCUUUGGAAUUUGGAGCCGGCGAUAGGGAAUUUUUAGACGUAGAAUCACCCGGUGACGGCGCCGGAGAUGAAUUUCGAGAGAGAUCUGACAGUGGAGGUGCCGGCGGAGAAGAUAGACUUGGUGAAGGCGAUGGAGCUAGACUCAUUGGUGGAGAAGCUACAUCAGCGCCAGAUUCCGGUGCAGGACUUGGUGAACUUGCAGGCGGAUCUGUACAAAUACAUUGUUGAACAAGCAAAACAGCAAAGAGAAUUGUGAAGGAAAACAUUUGCACAGUCGCCAUUGGUAAAAAAUCACACCUCCCUUUUUUGCCUAGGUGAAGUUUGGAGAGAGAAAAUGGUGAUGAAUGAGGAAGCAAUGAUGAAUUAAGGGGGAAAUGCUUGAUUUGUUGAUAGCGUGAAGGAGAAAGAAACAGAGUUGACUCCUCCUUUGGAUCUGAAUUUGAAAGUUGCGUAG